rnacentral:rRNA from 1 species
AGUAAGGAAUAUUGGUCAAUGGACGCAAGUCUGAACCAGCCAUGCCGCGUGGAGGAUGAAGGUCCUCUGGAUUGUAAACUUCUUUUAUCUGGGACGAAACACUCCUUUUCUAAGGGGCCUGACGGUACCAGAUGAAUAAGCACCGGCUAACUCCGUGCCAGCAGCCGCGGUAAUACGGAGGGUGCAAGCGUUAUCCGGAUUCACUGGGUUUAAAGGGUGCGUAGGUGGAUAUGUAAGUCAGAGGUGAAAUCCCCGAGCUUAACUUGGGAACUGCCUUUGAUACUAUAUAUCUUGAAUGUCGUAGAGGUUAGCGGAAUAUGUCAUGUAGCGGUGAAAUGCUUAGAUAUGACAUAGAACACCAAUUGCGAAGGCAGCUAGCUAUGCGAUUAUUGACACUGAGGCACGAAAGCGUGGGUAGCAAA